CGCGACCCCCAGGUCAGGCGGGGCUACCCGCUGAGUUUAAGCA
rnacentral:rRNA from 1 species